rnacentral:rRNA from 1 species
GGUGGGCCCUCGAAGGUCGAACGGGGGGAUUCAGCCCGUCGGUUACUCCGCGAUCUGUGGUUCGUUCUCGUCAAAAGGAUCCGAGGGCACCUGACCACAGAUUUCCUGUCGGAGGCCGGCGGGUGCACUUCCCCCUCAGUAGGACGCCGCGACCGGUCGGGAGAAUCAUUCGGCGGCCAUACGGCUUGGCAAGGCAGGUAUCCGUUGCCGGUAGGUCCACCUCCAGUUCGCUGGGGGACCCGGGCUCCGGUCGGAGUUACAGCCUGUCAUGACCCGGCUCCGCCGCCCGACCGAGGAAAAGACGCUUACAACGUGCUCGCUCUGCGAAGCCGCCCUGUAACGGGGCGGCCGAAUGCGCGGUUUUCCAUUCAUAUCCGGCAGGCAUGGUCGUAAGGAUACCUGCUCUAAGGCCGGCGUGUGCUUUGGAAUCCGCUGCGGCACUUGGGGUCUGCGGCGAGUAGGUCGGUCGCCCACCCGACCCGUCUUGAAACACGGACCAAGGAGUCUAACAUGUGCGCGAGUCAAUGGGAUUGCUGUAGCUAAACCCACGGGCGCAAUGAAAGUGAAGUAGAAAUAUUGAGCGGGAUCCGUCGGGAACCUCGUCGUCUUCGGGCGGCGGGGCCCCGCGGCGCACCGCCGGCCCGUCUCGACCGCAUAGCCGGUGAGGCGGAGCAAGAGCGUACACGUUGGGACCCGAAAGAUGGUGAACUAUGCCUGGGCAGGACGAAGCCAGAGGAAACUCUGGUGGAGGUCCGUAGCGAUUCUGACGUGCAAAUCGAU